rnacentral:lncRNA from 1 species
UGUAGAGGACAAGGUGAUGUAGCUACUACUACUAGAAAGAAAAGAAAAUAUUUUUUACGUGAGAGAGAAAAGAUACCAUAUUCAUGCUAACAUUGUUUUUUUCUCUUUUUUUCACUCUGACCAAAAACCAUAUUGAAAAAGGUUGUCUCAAUGAUACCUUAGUUUUUUUGUAAAUUAAUUUUGAACAUCCACAAAUGGCCUUGCAGAGCUUAAAAAAUGAGUUUUAAUUUUUGAGUCAAAAUAAAAUAAUAAGAAAAAAGUUUUUUAAAUAAGAAAGAUAGAAUUAAAAUAAAA